AGUCAGUUGACGUGCGGUGAGGAUAGAGCGAGCAAUGGAGGCGAGGGGGUGAUGAUUCUCUCUCCUAUCAUAAUUACUCCCAUGACGCCACCAUGAGCAAGGGCAUCCGUAACCUGGUGUCUAAAAGGAAAAGAAGGUUCAAGGAAAAUGGAUACGACCUCGAUCUCAGCUACAUCACCGAGAGGCUUAUCGCGAUGGGUUUCCCCGCCCAGAAGCUGGAGGGGGUGUACAGGAACCACAUUGAUGACGUCUCUCGCUUCCUGGAGGAGAGGCACAAGGACCACUACCGUAUCUAUAACUUGUGUUCAGAGCGGAACCGUUCCUACGACGAGUCACGGUUCCACAACAGAGUAAGGACCUUCCCCUUCGCUGACCACAAUCCGCCGCCACUCAUAAACAUCCAGCCGCUCUGUAACGACAUCAGCAAGUGGCUCUCGCAGGACCAGAAGAAUGUGGCGGUGGUGCACUGUAAGGCUGGAAAGGGCCGCACUGGAGUAAUGAUCUGCUGUUACCUCCUCCACUGCCACCACACUUGUCUGGCGCAGGAGGCUCUCGACUUUUAUGGGGACAAGAGGACCUUUGACAGAAAAGGUGUGACUAUCCCCAGCCAAAGACGCUACGUGGAAUACUACGCCAAACUAGUCAGCUCCAACUUUAACUAUAACCCACCUUAUGUACGGCUGAGGGAGGCGCGCAUGACCCCACCUCUCUCCAGCGUCAACUCAGAGGUGGUUCUGGUGGUGAGCUCGCACACCAACAAGAAGGGGUACAGUACGCAGGUGUGUGAGGUGAAGAAGGGCAAGGAGGCGCUGCACCUGCUCGUUAAGGAGGAGGUAGCCAGACCCAUCUCAGGUGACAUCAAGAUUGAGCUUAAGAGGACCAACUUUGUAAGGCGAACGGAUAAGCUGUUUAGUGCCUGGCUGAACACUCACUUCAUUUUCGAGGAGGGCAAGAAAGUGACCAACGGGUUCGAGAUCAUUGCGUCUGACCAGAGCAACCACAACACCUGCGGCCCACACCAGAUCACCCGGCAAAGGAGCAACAGUUUUCGGGCGUCAAACAAGUCGGAGGGGCACAGACACAGACGGCAGGAGUCAGCGGAGGGGCGGGCAGCUCUCUCGGGGCUUGGGGGCGGGGGGAUGGACCAGCACCCACCCCGAGAACCCCGCCGGAGGAACAGAGUGGCCGGGGAGAGUAAAAGUUUACCUACCGGUCACUUGACGUGCUUAGCGGCUCAGGAGGAUUGGCACCCACUUCCCCCGCCACAGCCGCCGCCACCCUCCCCCGGUGAUGCCAGCCCCCCGCCGCACCUCCGCCACCAUGCCAGACAGGACAGCCGCCACCGCCGCCGCCACCACACUCAGCAACUUCCCAGUGAGGGUGGUGGUUCGGGCGAGACAUGGGAGGAGGGGCGGCCGGAGGAACAAGAGGUGCUGGUUGUGCUAAAGAAGGACCAGUUGGACAAAGCGAGCAAGGACACACACCAUAAGCUUCUCCCGCAAGAUUUCCAGAUUGAGCUGUGGUGGCUGGUGACGUACGUGAACAAGGGUGGUGGGGGCAGCAGCAGCAGCAGCAACAAUGCGGUGGACUCUCGGGACAGUGGCUCCACCCCCAGCACCAUCACUCCCUCUGGCUCCUCGUCCGAUACUGAUGACGAUGAGGAGGACGAGGAUGAGGACGAGGACUGGGAUUCAGGUAGUGGCGAUGGCCACUGCCCUGAGCGCUACGUGGGGCGUUACCGCCUCAUGUCAGACUGCUCUGCGGCCCAACCCAACCAUUUCAACCCACCGGAGGGGCCUACAUGACCCUAGCCCCCCAUCCUUAUCCUCUCCCUCAUCCUCUCCCUCAUUCUCUCCCUCAUCCUAGCCUUCCCCCUCAUCCCUUUUCUAACCCUCACUCUCCUCACAUCAUCACUAUCCACCUCCUUCCCCUCACACUCCCUCCCGUCCCCAUCCUUCACUGCUUCCACCACCACUGCUGCCACCACCACCACCACCACCACCACCACCACCACCACCACCACCACCACCACCGUCGCCACUACCAGGCCAAAGCUCCACCCACGGAGGGGUUGGAGGUACUGCUGUGACAACCCCUCCACCUACACACCUCCACCACCACCACCACCACCACCUUUCCAUCACCACCACCACACCUCACCCCACCACCACCACCACCACCACCACCACUUCUCUGGGACCUGCUGGGGUGGAGGGGCUGUGCUGUGGGGAGUGGGGUGCUUGGGCGACCCCACUCCACCUCACCCUUAUCACCCGGCUCCCUCCCCUCUCACCACUCCACCACCACCACCACCACCGCUGCCAGUCUCGGUUGAUUUAAAAGGUGGCUUCAUGCAGUUCCGUUUUCUAUUUCAUCCCGUUUUCUAUUUCAUCCCGUUUUCUCCUCCUCCGGCAUCCCAGACUCACUCAUUUAUUGUUUUGUUUCCAUCUCAUCUCUCAUCAGCAAUAUUUUCCCUGUAAAGACAAAAAAAGUUAAAAAAAGAGAAAAAAAAGUGAAUUAGGAAAAAAAAAGAGGCGAACAUAUAUAGCAUAAAUAUAUGAAUAUAUGAAUAUAUAUAUUAUACUAUA
rnacentral:misc_RNA from 1 species